rnacentral:rRNA from 1 species
AACCAUAAGGCUAGAUCGUGACAGGUAAGCGAAAUCUUAGGAAAGUAGCGAAGCACAUGAUGACGGCUUCCAGGAAAAGCUUCUGGCAAUGCAUAUGCGGCCCGUACCAAAACCGACACAGGUGGGCAGGGAGAGAAUCCCGAGGUGAGCGAGAGAACUGUUGCCAAGGAACUCGGCAAAAUGACUCUGUAAGUUAGCGAGAAGGAGUGCUUAAGCAAUUAAGCCGCAGUGAAGAGGCCCAAGCGACUGUUUAACUAAAACACAGCUCUCUGCGAAGUCGCAAGACGAAGUAUAGGGGGUGACACCUGCCCGGUGCUGGAAGGUUAAGAGGAUCUGUUAAGAGCGAUCUGAAGCAGUGAUCCGAAGCCCCAGUGAACGGCGGCCGUAACUAUAACGGUCCUAAGGUAGCGAAAUUCCUUGUCAGGUAAGUUCUGACCCGCACGAAAGGUGUAACGAUUUGGGCGCUGUCUCGGCAGCAGACUCGGUGAAAUCUUAGUACCUGUGAAAAUGCAGGUUACCCGCAACUAGACGGAAAGACCCCAUGGAGCUUUACUGCAGCCUGAUAUUGAAUUCUGGUCAUACAUGUACAGGAUAGGUGGGAGACAAAGAGACGUGCACGCCAGUGUACGAGGAGUCGACGUUGGGAUACCACUCUUGUGUGACUGGGGUUCUAACCUGGUAUCGAGAACAGGUACGGGGAGAGUGUCAGGUGGGCAGUUUGACUGGGGCGGUCGCCUCCCAAAGAGUAACGGAGGCGCCCAAAGGUACGCUCAGAUUGGAUGGAAACCAAUCGUCGAGUGCAAUUGCAGAAGCGUGCUUGACUGUGAGACAGACAAGUCGAACAGGGACGAAAGUCGGGAAUAGUGAUCCGGCGGUGCCGAAUGGAAGGGCCGUCGCUCAACGGAUAAAAGCUACCCUGGGGAUAACAGGCUGAUCUCGCCCAAGAGUUCACAUCGACGGCGAGGUUUGGCACCUCGAUGUCGGCUCAUCGCAUCCUGGAGCUGGAUUCGGUUCCAAGGGUUGGGCUGUCCGCCCAUUAAAGCGGUACGCGAGCUGGGUUCAGAACGUCGUGAGACAGUUCGGUCCCUAUCUGUUGUGGGCGAAGGAGAUCUGCGGAGAGCUGUCCUCAGCACGAGAGGACCGGGAUGGACCUACCGCUGGUGCACCGGCUGUUCCGCCAGGGGCAUAGCCGGGUAGCUAAGUAGGGAAAGGAUAAGCGCUGAAAGCAUCUAAGCACGAAGCCUACUCCAAGAUGAGAUCUCCCAUUCGCAAGAAGUAAGACCCCUUAAAGACGAUAAGGUAGAUAGGCCAGGGAUGGAAGUGCAGUGACGUACGGAGUUGACUGGUACUAAUCGGUCGAGGACUUAAUC